rnacentral:ncRNA from 1 species
AUACCGGGCCGUCGGUCGGCAGAGCGAAUAACGUCCGUGUCAGCUCGAAGAGAGCGACGGCGCUGAGGCCCCGACGAGUAGGGGGNUCGCGACGGUGAGCGUAGAAGGGUUGUGGGCGUGAGCCUGCCCGGAGCCGCCGUCGGUGCAGAUCUUGGUGGUAGUAGCAAAUACUCCAGAGGGAUCCUGGAGGACUGACGCGGAGAAGGGUUUCAUGUGAACAGUGGUUGGACAUGAGUCAGUCGAUCCUAAGCCGCAGGCGAAAGCCGACCUAGUGACGGGCGUGAUGUGUUGCAUCUAUCGUAUGAGUAACGGGCGUGGUUGUGGUUGAGUCGUGUGUGGGUGAUUCUUCUGUUGUGUGCGCGAAGAGAAAAUGUAAAGUUGCGGGGUCAAAGAAAACACAUGAAUAAGAAAGCUUGUGAGAAUGAUAGAAGGUUAAAGAAGUGUCUUUUUCUUUUUUGAUUUCUCUUAGCCGGUAUUUGAUUGUUUUUCUCCCGUCUCUUUUCUUUUCCUAGUACCGUUCAUCGCGUUAUGGCAUCGCAUGCUUCUUUCGCAGCGCCUUCGAAAAUAUGAAACCAUGUAUCGUAUAACGUGAGACGCCACCCAGGUUAAGGCGAAAGGGAAUCCGGUCCUGAUUCCGGAACCAGGCUGCGGCUACGUCCGCGAUAAAACGACUUUAACCCUCGUAAUGUCACGGUCGCGGUAACGCGACACAAACCGGAGAAGCUGCCGAGAACCCCGGGAAGAGUUUUCUUUUCUGCUUGAGGGACCGAGACCCUGGAAUCCCGUCGCGGGGCGAGAGGGUUAUGGAUUUAGCUGUCAAAGGCUAUCCCGAAGAGCGUCGCGUUUCUGCGACGUCCGUGGUCGUUCUCGGCUGGCCCUUGAAAAUCCGGUGGGAGGGUUACGUUGUUGGACGUUCGCGCCUGCUCGUACCGAUAUCCGCAUCAGUCUCCA